CCCUGACCUGCCCAGGCCCCUCCUCUGGCCCCGCCUCUUCCCGAGAUGGGACCCCCUAAACACUCCCCGGGGGGCUGUCACCACACCCCACGAGUCCCAUUUGUGCCUCCCGAGAGCAAGUUCACCCAAAUGGUGACAUUUUAGGGACUCUCUUUCUCGACUCGCCAAGACCUUCUAAGGUUACCCGCCCCCUGUCCAGUCGCUCCGACGUGGCUACUUUGCGGGUUGGGCUGUAUAAAGGGCUGGAGGCAGCUCGACGCAAAUCAGAGACGUGGCGCUUCUACUAGGCCUGCCUAGGCUCCAGGGCCUGAUUACAGCCGGAGAACGGAGCAGGGAGAGCUGCAGGGAGCACGGCCUGAGAGACCUGAAGACACAGCUGUGGACCACAGCUGGCUUUCCCAGGAAGAUUCACUACCUGCGGACUUUAAAAUGUAAUAAGACUACUAAA